GUUUAACGCUGGCGGCGUGCUUAACNCAUGCAAGUCGAACGGUGAACACGGNAGCUUGCUCUGUGGGAUCAGUGGCGAACGGGUGAGUAACACGUGAGCAACCUGCCCCUGACUCUGGGAUAAGCGCUGGAAACGGCGUCUAAUACUGGAUAUGUGACGUGAUCGCAUGGUCUGCGUCUGGAAAGAAUUUCGGUUGGGGAUGGGCUCGCGGCCUAUCAGCUUGUUGGUGAGGUAAUGGCUCACCAAGGCGUCGACGGGUAGCCGGCCUGAGAGGGUGACCGGCCACACUGGGACUGAGACACGGCCCAGACUCCUACGGGAGGCAGCAGUGGGGAAUAUUGCACAAUGGGCGCAAGCCUGAUGCAGCAACGCCGCGUGAGGGACGACGGCCUUCGGGUUGUAAACCUCUUUUAGCAGGGAAGAAGCGAAAGUGACGGUACCUGCAGAAAAAGCGCCGGCUAACUACGUGCCAGCAGCCGCGGGGUAAUA
rnacentral:rRNA from 1 species